AUUACAGCCAUGAGCUACUGUGCCUGAUCAAAAGUCAACAUUAAACAACAAAUCUUGGCCAGGCGCAGUGGCUCAUGCCUUUAAU
ensembl:miRNA